rnacentral:lncRNA from 1 species
CUCAACCUCCCAUUUUCUCAACACACACAUCCGGCCAAGACUCCGGUGAGCACUCGCGGCAGCUCCCCCGCGUCUCCGCCGUAACGCAGCCAUGCCGGAAAGCCAAAAGCGACCAAAACCCAAGUUUUUAAAAGAUCUCCUUUUUAAAACAAAAUAAACUCGAUUUGGGUGUUUUAAAACUAGAAAAUGAAGAGAGAAAAUAGAAAAGGGGCUUUCGGCUUCACUGCUUCCCUUCUCGGCGAAGCCCCGAAUGAAACCCUAGGGGUUUCCACGACUCGGCCGAACGGAUGGAGGCCUCCAACGGUGGCGCACCGCGAGGGACAGGUACUUCAAAAACCUUUUCUUUUAUUUCAUUUUUGUUUUUUCAUUUAGUACGCGAAAACCAAAAUAAAAAAUAAAAAAUAAAUGAUAAGAGAAUCGGACAAAAAGAACAGAAAUAUAAGUUUCACUUCUGAAAAUCGGUAUUUUGUUUCUUUUUAUUAAUGUUUGCCGAAGCCGAAGAAGAAGAUACAAAAUGGCUCUUGUUGUUUUUAUAGCCAUUACCAACUGUUUUUUUUCAAUCUUUUGUUUGUCUGCUCUUUAUUUCUUUUGUUGCUUUGCGUUCACUCUUCUCUGCAGGUGUCAGACGAGGCCGACGGUGGUAGCAGAAGGCAUGCGCGAGGGGGCAUUGGACAAAAGCGG